rnacentral:misc_RNA from 1 species
UCAACAGGGUUUCUACCAGGUCA